UCACCUGCUUGAUAUUCAUGGCAAUCUGAUUUGGGGUUUCGAAGCCUACUCAUCAUCAAAUACAUCGGUGUAUCGAAAUAUGAAAGUCCAGGUAGAUGAAGAUCGAUCGGAAGUAGGCACCAUUCCCACCACUACUAAUACCUCUAAUGUUAUUCAUGGUAAGACCCUGCUCUAAUUUAUGGCUUACAAAGACAUGGUGGGUAUUAGGUUAUUCGCCGUGAGUUAGAAUACGACGUCGGUGUCGUCAACGUGGUGGCCGGUGACAGAGCAUGGUGGUCACGGUUGUUCGGAUUGGUCCCCGUGUCAGAUUGUUCCCGGUGAGGCAGAAUCCGUGACGGUCCGGUGACGCGAUUCAGAUAUGUUUCAGCAAGAUUCCGGUGAGCACGAUCAGAUUAUAGAAGAAGCAUUAGUAAAGACCGGAAAUGAUAUAGAUCCUUCCAUUAAGAGUCUCAAUGACUUUACAAAUAGGAUGAAGCGGUGACAGAGUGUGGUGGUGACAAUUGUUCGAAUUGGUCGCCGCCUAACGUGGUGGUGGAAUUGACUUCUGUUAAAGAUUUUGGGACAUAGGGCCAGGUUGAUGCGUGUAAGAAGUCCGUGUGGAAUAGGUUUUGCUAAUGGAGUCGUGGAUGCGGUUAGUCUGGUUAUAGGUGCGGCUUGGCCUGCGCUCUAUAAGUCGACUGAACUGGCACUUAAGUCGUCAUCGUCACAGUCAUCAAAAGCGCUUUCUGAUGGUUCAUUACCCGUUGCAUUACAUGUAGCAGUUUUACAUAGUUGCAUAUGUAUAAGUUUAAGAUGUUUAUGAAUUACAUUGCUCAUAUCUUGGUUAAUAGAUUGCUUACUAAGUGAAUUGGCCGAUU